GGUGGUGGUGGUGGUGGUGGUGGUGGUGAUGGAGUUCUUGGAUGUUCAUAUGUUGGUGGUGGUGGUGGUGAAUGUGGCGUAUACGUUGGUGGCUCGUGAUACACUGGGGGUGGUGGUGAAUGAGGCGUAUAUUUUGGUGGCUCGUGAUACACUGGGGGUGGUGGUAAAUGAGGCGUAUACGUAGGUGGCUCGUGAUACACUGGGGGUGAUGGAGAAUGAUAAACUGGUGGUGGUGGUGAUGGAGAUGGGCGGUAAUAUAAAGGUGAUGGUGGAGGAGGAGGUGAUUGAUGAGUUACUGGAGAAAUUUUAUGCAUAGGUGGUGGAGGACUUCUAUGUUGAUAGGUUGGGGACUUUUUGUAGGUAGGUGGUGGUGGUGGUGGUGGAGGCAGAGGAGUUGAUUGAGGUGGCGGUGGAGAAUGCUUGUUAUGCGAACCCGAAGAUUUCGAAGAAG
rnacentral:lncRNA from 1 species